UGUAAGCGUAUACCAAAGUUGUUGCAGUUAAAACGCUCGUAGUCGGAAUUUGGCAGUUCCGGAUGUGUGCACGUCGUGUGCGCACUUCGCGGGGAUUGCUUUUGUGGUCUUGCGUAGGAUGAGGCACUUUUAUUAGUGAACGUCCUCACGCAACCACUUUUUACUGUGAGAAAAUCAGAGUGCUCAAAGCAGGCAUUUGCCGUGAAUGUAUUAGCAUGGAAUAAUAGAAUAGGACUUGGUUCUAUUUUGUUGGUUUGUUGGGACUGAGUAAUGAUUAAGAGGGACAGUUGGGGGCAUUUGUAUUUCGGUGCUAGAGGUGAAAUUCUUAGAUUACCGAAAGACAAACUGCUGCGAAAGCGUCUGCCAAGGAUGUUUUCAGUGA
rnacentral:rRNA from 1 species